UUGACAAAAGGGGGCCAUAAAUUCAUUGGGAAAAAGAUGCAUGCCAUUCUUCCAUGUCGUGAUUACGACUUGAUUAGUUUUCCGAUUAUCUUGCCUCCACGUCGCCGGCCGGUGACUUGCUAUCGAUACAGACGACUGGUUUUGCCCAGAUCUGUGAUAUAAAGCCGAACUCAGACGAAGUGAAUCUCUCAGUACUCAAGGUUUUCAAGAGCUAGAAAUGGGAUGUUACUGAUUGGAAUACAUACUCCGUACCUAUCGGUUCUACACAGUCCAAUAAGCCUAUUAGGUGAUAUCCUAGAUGGCACUUCUUCCUGAUCCGUAUAUCCUGCAAGGCCACAGUGUGACAUGCGUACAAACAAUAGGUAUCAUCUCGCAACUAGCACCAAAUACUAAUUACGUUAUGUACAUCAUCAGAUGUGAGAGUCUCUGAGACGCCUCUUUGCGGCGAUUGCUCCAAGUCACAAGGUGAUGCCUCGCUUUGGAAGAGCUCCCUCUAAUUUCGAAGAAAGCGUAGAGACGUCUAUCACCGUGCCACGGAGUAGAAUAAGAAAGAGAUUUAGUGGGAUAGGCUCAUGCUAGUGAGGACCCCUAAUUGGCGCUAGCCAGGGUACAAAAUAAUUAAAUGGAAUAUUUAGCAUGACAGAUAAAGUGUUGAGAACCUUGGAAUUGAUUA
rnacentral:lncRNA from 1 species